rnacentral:rRNA from 1 species
AACGUAGGGGACAAGCGUUAUCCGGAUUUACUGGGCGUAAAGCGCCCGUAGGCGGCUUAACAAGUUGGAUGUGAAAGCUCCCGGCUUAACUGGGAGAGGUCAUUCAAAACUGUUAGGCUAGAGGAUGGAAGAGGAGAGUGGAAUUCCUGGUGUAGCGGUGAAAUGCGCAGAUAUCAGGAAGAACACCCGUGGCGAAGGCGGCUCUCUGGGACGGUACUGACGCUGAGACGCGAAAGCGUGGGGAGCAAACAGG